GAUGAACGCUGGCGGCGUGCCUAAUACAUGCAAGUCGAGCGAACGGACGAGAAGCUUGCUUCUCUGAUGUUAGCGGCGGACGGGUGAGUAACACAUGGAUAACCUACCUAUAAGACUGGGAUAACUUCGGGAAACCGGAGCUAAUACCGGAUAAUAUAUUGAACCGCAUGGUUCAAUAGUGAAAGACGGUUUUGCUGUCACUUAUAGAUGGAUCCGCGCCGCAUUAGCUAGUUGGUAAGGUAACGGCUUACCAAGGCAACGAUGCGUAGCCGACCUGAGAGGGUGAUCGGCCACACUGGAACUGAGACACGGUCCAGACUCCUACGGGAGGCAGCAGUAGGGAAUCUUCCGCAAUGGGCGAAAGCCUGACGGAGCAACGCCGCGUGAGUGAUGAAGGUCUUCGGAUCGUAAAACUCUGUUAUUAGGGAAGAACAAAUGUGUAAGUAACUAUGCACGUCUUGACGGUACCUAAUCAGAAAGCCACGGCUAACUACGUG
rnacentral:rRNA from 1 species